ACUGAGCGGCGGACGGGUGAGUAACGCGUGGGUAACCUGCCUCAUACAGGGGGAUAACGGUUGGAAACGGCUGCUAAUACCGCAUAAGCGCACAGUACCGCAUGGUACGGUGUGAAAAACUCCGGUGGUAUGAGAUGGACCCGCGUCUGAUUAGGUAGUUGGUGGGGUAACGGCCUACCAAGCCGACGAUCAGUAGCCGACCUGAGAGGGUGACCGGCCACAUUGGGACUGAGACACGGCCAA
rnacentral:rRNA from 1 species